rnacentral:rRNA from 1 species
GACGAACGCUGGCGGCGUGCUUAACACAUGCAAGUCGAACGGAAAGGCCCUGCUUUUGUGGGGUGCUCGAGUGGCGAACGGGUGAGUAACACGUGAGUAACCUGCCCUUGACUUUGGGAUAACUUCAGGAAACUGGGGCUAAUACCGGAUAGGAGCUCCUGCUGCAUGGUGGGGGUUGGAAAGUUUCGGCGGUUGGGGAUGGACUCGCGGCUUAUCAGCUUGUUGGUGGGGUAGUUGCUUACCAAGGCUUUGACGGGUAGCCGGCCUGAGAGGGUGACCGGCCACAUUGGGACUGAGAUACGGCGCAGACUCCUACGGGAGGCAGCAGUGGGGAAUAUUGCACAAUGGGCGGAAGCCUGAUGCAGCAACGCCGCGUGCGGGAUGACGGCCUUCGGGUUGUAAACCGCUUUCGCCUGUGACGAAGCGUGAGUGACGGUAAUGGGUAAAGAAGCACCGGCUAACUACGUG